rnacentral:rRNA from 1 species
CGCUGGCGGCAUGCCUUACACAUGCAAGGUCGAACGGCAGCACGGGAGCAAUCCUGGUGGCGAGUGGCGAACGGGUGAGUAAUAUAUCGGAACGUGCCCAGUCGUGGGGGAUAACGUAGCGAAAGCUACGCUAAUACCGCAUACGAUCUAUGGAUGAAAGCGGGGGAUCGCAAGACCUCGCGCGAUUGGAGCGGCCGAUAUCAGAUUAGGUAGUUGGUGAGGUAAAGGCUCACCAAGCCGACGAUCUGUAGCUGGUCUGAGAGGACGACCAGCCACACUGGGACUGAGACACGGCCCAGACUCCUACGGGAGGCAGCAGUGGGGAAUUUUGGACAAUGGGCGCAAGCCUGAUCCAGCAAUGCCGCGUGCAGGAUGAAGGCCUUCGGGUUGUAAACUGCUUUUGUACGGAACGAAACGGUGAGCUCUAAUACAGUUUGCUAAUGACGGUACCGUAAGAAUAAGCACCGGCUAACUACGUG